AUUGAACGCUAGCGGCAGGCCUAACACAUGCAAGUCGAACGAGUGGCGGACGGGUGAGUAAUGUCUGGGAAACUGCCUGAUGGAGGGGGAUAACUACUGGAAACGGUAGCUAAUACCGCAUACCAUCAGAUGUGCCCAGAUGGGAUUAGCUAGUUGGUGGGGUAACGGCACACCAAGGCGACGAUCCCUAGCUGGUCUGAGAGGAUGACCAGCAACACGAGAACGGAUACAGGGUUCAGACUCCUACGUGAGGCCGCAGUGGGGAGAGUUGCACAAUGGUCGCAAGCCUGAUGCAGCACUGCCGCGUGUAUGAAGAAGGCCUUCGGGUUGGAAAGUACUUUCAGCGGGGAGGCGUUACCCGCAGAAGAAGCACCGGCUAACUCCGUGCCAGCAGCCGCGGUAAUUC
rnacentral:rRNA from 1 species